GGGCCUGUAGCUCAGCUGGUUAGAGCGCACGCCUGAUAAGCGUGAGGUCGGUGGUUCGAGCCCACUCAGGCCCACCA
rnacentral:tRNA from 2 species